rnacentral:rRNA from 1 species
AACGAACGCUGGCGGCAUGCCUAACACAUGCAAGUCGAACGAGCUCUUCGGAGCUAGUGGCGCACGGGUGCGUAACGCGUGGGAACCUGCCCUUAGGUUCGGAAUAACUCCCCGAAAGGGGAGCUAAUACCGGAUAAUGUCUUCGGACCAAAGAUUUAUCGCCUUUGGAUGGGCCCGCGUUGGAUUAGCUAGUUGGUGGGGUAAAGGCCUACCAAGGCGACGAUCCAUAGCUGGUCUUAGAGGAUGAUCAGCCACACUGGGACUGAGACACGGCCCAGACUCCUACGGGAGGCAGCAGUGGGGAAUAUUGGACAAUGGGCGAAAGCCUGAUCCAGCAAUGCCGCGUGAGUGAUGAAGGCCCUAGGGUUGUAAAGCUCUUUUACCCGGGAUGAUAAUGACAGUACCGGGAGAAUAAGCCCCGGCUAACUCC